AACGAACGCUGGCGGCGUGCCUAACACAUGCAAGUCGAGCGAGAAAGCCCGCAAGGGUGAGUAAAGCGGCGCACGGGUGCGUAACACGUGGGUAAUCUGCCCUGAAGCCCGGAAUAACUCGCCGAAAGGCGUGCUAAUGCCGGAUAAGACCACGGGAACUUCGGUUCCUGCGGGAAAAGGUGGCCUCUGUAUACAAGCUAUCUCUUCAGGAUGAGCCCGCGGCCCAUCAGCUAGUUGGCGGGGUAACGGCCCACCAAGGCUACGACGGGUAGCUGGUCUAAGAGGACGAUCAGCCACACUGGAACUGAGACACGGUCCAGACUCCUACGGGAGGCAGCAGUGGGGAAUCUUGCGCAAUGGGCGAAAGCCUGACGCAGCAACGCCGCGUGUGUGAUGAAGGUCUUCGGAUCGUAAAGCACUGUCGGGAGGGACGAAUAAGGCCGGCGCUAACAUCGCCGGACGAUGACGGUACCUCCAAAGGAAGCACCGGCUAACUCUGUGCCAGCAGCCGCGGUAAUACAGAGGGUGCAAGCAUUGUUCGGAAUUAUUGGGCGUAAAGCGCGUGUAGGCGGCUCAGCAAGUCGGAUGUGAAAGCCCUCGGCUUAACCGAGGAAGGGCGUUCGAAACUACUGAGCUUGA
rnacentral:rRNA from 1 species